rnacentral:rRNA from 1 species
GAUGAACGCUGGCGGCGUGCCUAAUACAUGCAAGUCGAGCGAACGGACGAGAAGCUUGCUUUUCUGAUGUUAGCGGCGGACGGGUGAGUAACACGUGGAUAACCUACCUAUAAGACUGGGAUAACUUCGGGAAACCGGAGCUAAUACCGGAUAAUAUUUUGAACCGCAUGGUUCAAAAGUGAAAGACGGUCUUGCUGUCACUUAUAGAUGGAUCCGCGCUGCAUUAGCUAGUUGGUAAGGUAACGGCUUACCAAGGCAACGAUGCAUAGCCGACCUGGGAGGGUGAUCGGCCACACUGGAACUGAGACACGGUCCAGACUCCUACGGGAGGCAGCAGUAGGGAAUCUUCCGCAAUGGGCGAAAGCCUGACGGAGCAACGCCGCGUGAGUGAUGAAGGUCUUCGGAUCGUAAAACUCUGUUAUUAGGGAAGAACAUAUGUGUAAGUAACUGUGAACAUCUUGACGGUACCUAAUCAGAAAGCCACGGCUAACUACGUG